CUUCUCCCCCGAGAACUGUCAACUGUGGGCCCUUUAUAUAGACAGGUGUGUGCCUUUCCAAAUCAUGUCCAAUCAAUUGAAUUUACCACAGGUGGACUCCAAUCAAGUUGUAGAACCAUCUCAAGAAUGACCAAUGGAAACAGGAUGCACCUGAGCUCAAUUUUGAGUCUCAUAGCAAAUGGGUCUGAAUGCUUAUGUAAAUAAGAAUAAGUGUAACAACCGUCGUCAAGAAUGGACCAAGGCGCAGCAGGGGGAUUUAUGGUGAAUGGAUGGAGGAAAAGGUUAGUGUCUCUGAUUUCUUUCUGUGGCUUUCAAUAUGUAACACACACACACACACACAUUCUAGUAGAACAGCUCAGAGGGUCAGAUAAGGAACAGAACAUCUAGCAGAAAUACCUCUGAGCCUAUAGAGUGGUGAAAAAAC
rnacentral:lncRNA from 1 species